rnacentral:rRNA from 1 species
CCAACUUUUAAUCGGUUGGUGAAUAAGGGGUGGGAAAGACCGGUGCCAGCCGCCGCGGUAAUACCGGCACCUCAAGUGGUCGUCGCUUUUAUUGNNNGGNNAACGUCCGUCGCCUGUUUGGUACAUUCGUGGGUAAAUCAAGCCGCUCAACGGCUUGAAUUCUGCGAGGACGGCCAGACUAGGGACCGGGAGAGGUAUGGGGUACUCUCAGGGUAGGGGUAAAAUCCAGUCAUCCUGAGGGGACCACCUGUUGCGAAGGCGCCAUACUAGAACGGAUCCGACGGUCAGGGACGAAGCCUAGGGGCACGAACCGGAUUAGAUACCCGGGUAGUCCUAGGUGUAAACGCUGUGGACUUGGUGUUGGGGAUUCUACGAGUAUCCCCAGUGCCGGAGUGAAGAUGUUAAGUCCACUGCCUGGGGAGUACGGUCGCAAGGCUGAAACUUAAAGGAAUUGGCGGGGGAGCACAGCAACGAGAGGAGCGUGCGGUUUAAUUGGAUUCAACGCCGGAAAACUCACCAGAGCCGCCGGACAUAUGAAGAUCAGCGUGAUGAGCUUAUUGGAUUGUUCGAGAGGUAGUGCAUGGCCGUCGUCAGUUCGUACCGUAAGGCGUUCUGUUAAGUCAGAUAACGAACGAGACCCCUAUCGUCUAUUUGCCAGACGGAUCUCCGGAUUCGUCGCACUAUAGCGAGACCGCUGGCGUGAAGUCAGAGGAAGGUGGGGGCAACGACAGGUCAGUAUGCUCCGAAUGCUCUGGGCUACACGCGCGCUACAAAGGCCAGGACAAUGGGUCUGCCACGCCGAGAGGCGGCGCUAUCCCGAAACCUGGUCGUAGUUCGGAUCGUGGGCUGUAAUUCGCCCACGUGAAGCUGGAUUUCGUAGUAAUCGCGUCUCAAAAUGGCGCGGUGAAUAUGCCCCUGCUCCUUGCACACACCGCCCGUCAAACCAUCUUAGUUUGGGGUGGGUGAGGCUGCCUUUUCAUGGGGUAUUCGAGCCUGCC